ACGAACGCUGGCGGCGUGCUUAACACAUGCAAGUCGAACGGAAAGGCCCUGCUUUUGUGGGGUGCUCGAGUGGCGAACGGGUGAGUAACACGUGAGUAACCUGCCCUUGACUUUGAGAUAACUUCAGGAAACUGGGGCUAAUACCGGAUAGGAGCUCCUGCUGCAUGGUGGGGGUUGGAAAGUUUCGGCGGUUGGGGAUGGACUCGCGGCUUAUCAGCUUGUUGGUGGGGUAGUGGCUUACCAAGGCUUUGACGGGUAGCCGGCCUGAGAGGGUGACCGGCCACAUUGGGACUGAGAUACGGCCCAGACUCCUACGGGAGGCAGCAGUGGGGAAUAUUGCACAAUGGGCGGAAGCCUGAUGCAGCAACGCCGCGUGCGGGAUGACGGCCUUCGGGUUGUAAACCGCUUUCGCCUGUGACGAAGCGUGAGUGACGGUAAUGGGUAAAGAAGCACCGGCUAACUACGUG
rnacentral:rRNA from 1 species